UACGUAGGGGGCAAGCGUUGUCCGGAAUCAUUGGGCGUAAAGCGCGCGUAGGCGGCCCGGUAAGUCCGUUGUGAAAGUCAAAGGCUCAACCUUUGAAUGCCGACGGAUACUGCCGGGCUAGAGUCCGGAAGAGGCGAGUGGAAUUCCUGGUGUAGCGGUGGAAUGCGCAGAUAUCAGGAGGAACACCUAUAGCGAAGGCAGCUCGCUUGGACGGUACUGACGCUGAGGCGCGAAAGCGUGGGGAGCGAACAGG
rnacentral:rRNA from 1 species